GAUGAACGCUGGCGGCGUGCCUAAUACAUGCAAGUCGAGCGAACAGACGAGGAGCUUGCUCCUCUGACGUUAGCGGCGGACGGGUGAGUAACACGUGGAUAACCUACCUAUAAGACUGGGAUAACUUCGGGAAACCGGAGCUAAUACCGGAUAAUAUAUUGAACCGCAUGGUUCAAUAGUGAAAGACGGUUUUGCUGUCACUUAUAGAUGGAUCCGCGCCGCAUUAGCUAGUUGGUAAGGUAAUGGCUUACCAAGGCAACGAUGCGUAGCCGACCUGAGAGGGUGAUCGGCCACACUGGAACUGAGACACGGUCCAGACUCCUACGGGAGGCAGCAGUAGGGAAUCUUCCGCAAUGGGCGAAAGCCUGACGGAGCAACGCCGCGUGAGUGAUGAAGGUCUUCGGAUCGUAAAACUCUGUUAUUAGGGAAGAACAAAUGUGUAAGUAACUAUGCACGUCUUGACGGUACCUACUCAGAAAGCCACGGCUAACUACGUA
rnacentral:rRNA from 1 species